AGCAGCCGCGGUAAUUCCAGCUCCAAUAGCGUAUAUUAAAGUUGUUGCAGUUAAAAAGCUCGUAGUUGAAUUUCGGGAUCAAUAUAUCGGUCGUGCCUUGGUACGUACUGGUAUCAUUGGUUUCUCCUUUCUGACGAACCAUGAUGUCAUUAAUUUGGUGUUAUGGGAAGUUAGGACUGUUACUUUGAAAAAAAUUAGAGUGUUUAAAGCAGGCUUUAGCUUGAAUACAUUAGCAUGGAAUAAUGAAAUAGGACGUUCGAACCUAUUUUGUUGGUUUCUAGGAUCAACGUAAUGAUUAAUAGGGAUAGUUGGGGGCAUUAGUAUUCAAUUGUCAGAGGUGAAAUUCUUGGAUUUAUUGAAGACUAACUACUGCGAAAGCAUUUGCCAAGGAUGUUUUCAUUAAUCAAGAACGAAAGUUAGGGGAUCGAAGACGAUCAGAUACCGUCGUAGUCUUAACCAUAAACUAUGCCGACUAGGGAUCGGAUGAUGUUAAUUUUUUAAUGACUCAUUCGGCGCCUUA
rnacentral:misc_RNA from 1 species